rnacentral:tRNA from 1 species
GGUUAUAUAGCUCAGCUGGUAGAGCAAAUCAUUCAUGAUGAUUAGGUCUCCUGUUCAAAUCAGGAUAUAACUA